ACGAACGCUGGCGGCGCGCCUAACACAUGCAAGUCGCACGGAGCUGAGAGAAGCUUGCUUUUCUUAGCUUAGUGGCGAACGGGUGAGUAACGCGUGAGUAACCUGCCCUGGAGUGGGGGACAACAGUUGGAAACGACUGCUAAUACCGCAUAAGCCCACGAUCCGGCAUCGGAUUGAGGGAAAAGGAUUUAUUCGCUUCAGGAUGGACUCGCGUCCAAUUAGCUAGUUGGUGAGGUAACGGCCCACCAAGGCGACGAUUGGUAGCCGGACUGAGAGGUUGAACGGCCACAUUGGGACUGAGACACGGCCCAGACUCCUACGGGAGGCAGCAGUGGGGGAUAUUGCACAAUGGGGGAAACCCUGAUGCAGCGACGCCGCGUGGAGGAAGAAGGUUUUCGGAUUGUAAACUCCUGUCGUUAGGGACGAUAAUGACGGUACCUAACAAGAAAGCACCGGCUAACUACGUG
rnacentral:rRNA from 1 species